GCUCAAGAUAUUGCUAGAGACUUUGGACAUGCAGAACUUUUGCCCCUGCUUACAACUUAAUAAUAUGUCAACAAAUAAUAUAUUUAUUUCUGAACAAUAAGUCAAACAUUUCUUUAAGUUCAACCUAAAGUUGCUUACAUGAAACAGGUGGAUUUUGUGAUUUUCAUUAUAUAGUGUACAUAUAUACAUUUUAUUGAAAACAACAAUAAAAAGUCCCCUAUUUUGUGCCAUGCUUCCAAUUGUCCCAAUUUUAAUUUUUCUUGUUUUAUACACUAUAUUAUGUUUGCGAGUGUCACUUUCGCUUUUGUAAAUAUUAAAUCAUUAUAUUAAUUUG
rnacentral:misc_RNA from 1 species